GGCUGGUCUAAUGGUAGUGUGUUAUCAGAAUCUAUUCACAUUCAUGUCCCUAAAAUUGGUAUGCAACUCCCCACUGCUAAAUGUGACUUGUCUUUU
ensembl:Y_RNA Y_RNA Y RNA